GGUAAAGUGGCCGAGCAGGUGGCGGACUGUAACCCCGAAAACGAAGGUCUAACCCUUCCUUUACCA
rnacentral:tRNA from 1 species